GACGAACGCUGGCGGCGUGCUUAACACAUGCAAGUCGAGCGGUAAGGCCCUUUCGGGGGUACACGAGCGGCGAACGGGUGAGUAACACGUGGGUGACCUGCCCUCAGCUCUGGGAUAAGCCUGGGAAACCGGGUCUAAUACUGGAUAUGACUCCAUGACGCAUGUUGUGGGGUGGAAAGCCUUGUGCGGCUGAGGAUGGGCCCGCGGCCUAUCGGCUUGUUGGUGGGGUGAUGGCCUACCAAGGCGACGACGGGUAGCCGGCCUGAGAGGGCGACCGGCCACACUGGGACUGAGACACGGCCCAGACUCCUACGGGAGGCAGCAGUGGGGAAUCUUGCGCAAUGGGCGAAAGCCUGACGCAGCGACGCCGCGUGAGGGAUGACGGCC
rnacentral:rRNA from 1 species